UGGGGAAUAUUGGGCAAUGGGCGAAAGCCUGACCCAGCAACGCCGCGUGAAGGAAGAAGGUUUUCGGAUUGUAAACUUCUGUCCUCAGGGAAGAAGGAAGUGACGGUACCUGAGGAGGAAGCCCCGGCUAACUACGUGCCAGCAGCCGCGGUAAUACGUAGGGGGCGAGCGUUGUCCGGAAUGACUGGGCGUAAAGGGCGCGUAGACGGUUUUUUAAGUCUGGAGUGAAAGUCCUGCUUUCAAGGUGGGAAUUGCCUUGGAGACUGGGGGACUUGAGUGCGGAAGAGGUAAGUGGAAUUCCCAGUGUAGCGGUGAAAUGCGUAGAGAUUGGGAAGAACACCAGUGGCGAAGGCGACUUACUGGGCCGUAACUGACGUUGAUGCGCGAAAGCGUGGGGAGCGAACAGG
rnacentral:rRNA from 1 species